rnacentral:lncRNA from 1 species
GCGUUAUAAGAUAGCACAGGGCCCUUGCUCCAUCCUAUGGCCGACGUGUUCACAUGGUGAUGAAGCCGAGCGAGAAGCGUCGAGUUAGGAGAGAGAGGGCAGUGAGAUCUGUCGUGGGCUAGAUGAGAGCCAUGUCGGUGAUAGGCCCGUGGCGGGCUCAAGGUUAAUCCCGGGCGUCCUCGGCGCUGCUCCAAUCGCUCACCGGAGCGCGGCAGUCGCCGUGGGAGCGCUCCUCGUUGUUGGUAGACCUACUCGCUACACGGUAAGUCUUCCCUCAAACGGUUCACCUUCAUCUCUAGCUCGCGUAGCAGCGGUGGGAGUCGUGGUAUGGUGUUGGGGCGCCUGUGUGCUCAUCGCCAUGGGACUAGAGAUGGCCAAACGGGCCGCCCGGCCCGGCCCGGCCCGGGCCCGGUGAAGCCCGGCCAAAAACCGGGCCGGGCCUGCUGAGCCAGCGGGCUUAAUUUUCUGUCCAAGCCCGGCCCGCAGCGGGCCUAAACGGGCCGGGCCGUUUAGCACGAAAAAAAACGGGCCGAAAAGCGGGCUAAACGGGCCGGUAAGCACGUUUAGUGUAAAAAAACGGGCUUAACGGGCUUAGAGGUAAACGGGUCGUGCCGGGCUAGCCCACCGUGCCUAGUUUCCUGUCCAAGCCCGCCCGCUUAUUCUACCGUGCCGGGCUCGAACCGGGCCCAAAAAGCGGGCUUCGUACCGGGCUCACGUGCCUCGUGCUUUUUGGCCAUCUAUACAUGGGACCACUUCGCGUCGGGUGGCCAUGGCUAGCUUGUAGGGAGAGAAGGAGCGGCGGGAGGCCGAGAGGAAGAUGACGUGCGCUGCGCCGUCAGAUUUUAGAGUAACGGCUCGGAUAACCCCCAGGGAUAACGUUUCAGUGGAUUAGAUCACGGUCGUCCGAUUCUAAUCCUGCGUAGGUUAUGCUUUGGCGCCGUUUUAAAAUCAUGACCGUCCGAUCGGGAUCGGACAGUCCGGAUUACAUACCGGUUCAGUAAAUACUUCAAUCUAUUUGCAGCCGUCCGAUGAUGAUCCAACAGCCCACAGUUGUCGAUACCCCUUCGACCAGCCUUAUUUCAAAAGAGACCCUAAGAAAUUAAAUAAUUAACCCGCAGUCUUCUCUAGGUGUUCACUGAGUCUAGGAAAACUUGCGAGAUAGCCCCUGCACUUUCCAGAAAUUGGCGCGCAGUCCAGAGGGAGAUAAAAAUAGAGAAAUAAUUAGGGAAAUUGAUUUUUAGUACAAAAAUAAAUUCAUAAACUUGUUUAAUUCAUAUUUAAUUCAUUCUAACUCCGAAUUAAUCCAUUCCAGUUUCUAUAAUUUUGUAAUAUUAUUGUUUAUCAUUUUGUGUCACUGUUUUGACAUGAAAGCCAUAUUAAAAUUGAUAUCCUAAUUAAUCUUGUACCAAGCACAUAGAAUCUUUAGAAAUCCAUAACUUAAAAUCUAGAACUCCAAAAUUAAUAAUUCCUGUUCCUGUGAUCUUAUUUAAAUAUGUAGAUUAUUAAUAUGUAUUUUGCAUAUAUGUUUGGUGUAAUGUUAAUUUUUGCCUAUACCAUGUUUGUCUGUAUUGAUACGUUUAGCACUCAGGACACGUGUCAUCCGAAGAGCAAGUUGGUACCUGGAAUCUCAAGUGCCAGGCAAGUUGUGCCCUAGAUCACUUCUUUUUACCCAGCCAUGUUCUGAUUAAUCAUAAUGAUCUGCAUAGGUUAAUUUUGAUGGGACCCAAUAGGUUACCCUAGUUUGUCUAUCUUUAUGCCUUGUUUACCACUGAACUUUUUGGGUAGUACUUGCUAGUGCUUUAUGUGGUUUUGGGUAUGAAGAUACAUUAUUCAUGAUCACACUUUUAUUAUCUAUUUAUUAUUACUGUUCAUGAUAAGAUCAUUAUGUUAAUUGGAACAUGGAGAGACCACCCGGGAAAACAGUGCUACCACAAGGGUUUAAUGGGACGCCCUUGGCUGAUUAAUUAGGAAAGCUAGUGGAAGACUACCUUACCCGAAAGGGGCAAGGGCAGUAGGGGAGUGGUCAGUGUAGGGAGGUCCUUGGUUGAUUUUGCUGCGAUGGCGGUCAGGCAAGAACCCUGCAUUGGAGCUUCCUAUAAACUGUAGCGGGUUUUCUGAAGCUAGUGGAACUUUGUAAAGGCAUCGUAGUGUUACCCUGCCUCGCCUCCUUGGUAGAGGUGUAUGGGAAGUCGCGAUCCCUUGGCAGAUGGGUAACAUGACUUGUGGUUAAAGAUGUGCAACCUCUGCAGAGUGUAAAACUGGUAUAUCAGCCGUGCUCACGGUCAAGAGCAGCUCGGACCCUCACAUGAUUAAUUUAUGGAACUAAAUUCAAUUUGUCAUACGCAUUGCAUCGCAGGUGAUGUUGUUACUUUUGUUCUACUAUUUAAUUAGGUUGGUAUUUACUUAUACUUAGUAAUUGCUAAUAAAAAUUUGACCAACUUUAAAAGCAAUGCUCAGCUCUAACCAUCUCCUUUGGUAAGCCUUACACUUCACGUGAGCUCCCACCUUUGGCGAGUUCAUGCACAUUAUUCCCCACAACUUGUUGAGCUAUGAACGUAUGUGAGCUCACUCUUGCUGUCUCACCCCCCCCCACAGGUCAAGAGCAGGUACCGAAGGAUGAGGCGCAUGAAGGAUGCUUUGAUGUGUUCGUGAGAGGUCUAGGCCGUCGUCUCCCAGUCAACUUUAGGUUGCUGGACCGUUGUCUCCUUAUAAUGUAAUUAUUCAUUUUUGUAUAGAACUCCUGAUAUAUAGUAAAGAUGUGACAUUCGAUCCUGU